rnacentral:tRNA from 1 species
GUUAAUGUAGCUUAACAAUAAAGCAAAGCACUGAAAAUGCUUAGAUGGAUAAAUAAAUCCCAUAAACA